AUGGGAUUUUUGCUCCUUGUAAUUUUCGCUGUAGCCGCUUUGGAAGGUGUCCGGUCCCAGGUGCAGCUGGUGGAGUCCGGAGGGGAUGUGAAAAAGCCCGGAGACUCUCUCCGCCUCUCCUGCAAAGCCUCCGGGUUCACCUUCAGCAGCUAUAACAUGAACUGGGCCCGACAGGCUCAAGGGAAAGGGCUAGAAUGGGUCGCUUAUAUAAGGUACGAUGGGGGUGAUAUAUACUACCUUGAUGCCGUCAAAGGCCGAUUCACCAUCUCCCGGGAUAAUCCCAAGAGUGAGCUGUAUCUGCAAAUGACCGGCCUGAAGCCCGAGGACACCGCCCGCUAUUACUGUGCGGGACACAGUGACACGAAACCGGGCGGCCGGAGGAGAAACAACAAACAAACAAAAAGCGGCUGUGCCACCCCGUCUGCCGCCCCAGGCAAGAGCGUCCUCAGCUGGUGCCUGGAGCCGGCCCUGAGCGCAUUGCGGGACUGA